rnacentral:rRNA from 1 species
GACGAACGCUGGCGGCGUGCUUAACACAUGCAAGUCGAACGGAAGGGCCCUGCUUUUGUGGGGUGCUCGAGUGGCGAACGGGUGAGUAACACGUGAGUAACCUGCCCUUGACUUUGGGACAACUUCAGGAAACUGGGGCUAAUACCGGAUAGGAGCUCCUGCUGCAUGGUGGGGGUUGGAAAGUUUCGGCGGUUGGGGAUGGACUCGCGGCUUAUCAGCUUGUUGGUGGGGUAGUGGCUUACCAAGGCUUUGACGGGUAGCCGGCCUGAGAGGGUGACCGGCCACAUUGGGACUGAGAUACGGCCCAGACUCCUACGGGAGGCAGCAGUGGGGAAUAUUGCACAAUGGGCGGAAGCCUGAUGCAGCAACGCCGCGUGCGGGAUGACGGCCUUCGGGUUGUAAACCGCUUUCGCCUGUGACGAAGCGUGAGUGACGGUAAUGGGUAAAGAAGCACCGGCUAACUACGUG